GCCAAUUCUGGAAAAAUGAAAUCAAUGAGCCCCAAGUCAUGAUACAAAUUCUUUGAAGGGGCUUUUAAAAGUAACAUGAAGAAUGAAGCAUUUUAAUCUUUCUGAGAUGGUCUGAAGGCACAGUCUGGAGGCACCGAAAAAUAAUUUUUUUAGGGGUUAAAAACUCUUCAGCUGGUUGAGUUCAUUCCACCAAACGUCAUUGAUACAGCAGACGACGUGUGACGAGAGAUGAUAGUUCAUUCUUGACCGUAGCCGAUAUAAUUUUGAUUUAAAAUAUUUGUAAUUUAUUUCAAUUGUUAGUCUAUUGUAUUAUUUGACAUGGAAAUGUCAAGGGUAAAUGUCUAGGCCAAGACUCAUAUGGCCAAGAGCCAGAAAUUAUAAAUAAAUGAAUUUUAACGUUCUUCAGUUACAAUUCAGACCCGCAAAUCGCUUACGUUCAAUUUUAUUUGUACGAAAUAAACGGUCCUGAGCCAACGCGUUCCGAAUAACACACCAACAAUUGAUCGAAUAAUAGUAUAAAAAUGAACAUAACACGCAACUAAAGUGCAUAAAAACAUUUAAAUGAGUGAUGGUUCAAACGGUGUUUAAACAUGGGAUACGGAUACGCGGAUGAGCUAGAAGUGUUGCUGCCAAACUAGAAAGGCAUCUACCGAGUGGGUAAAAGUUUCGAAGUUUUGCAAUUUUAUAUUACAGAAUAAAGCGAAAAAGACUGGAAGCUACGAAUGAGGGUUGAAAUACGGCUUACUCAUUUCGGCUGUUUGCCAGAUUAUAUAGGAAUGAAAAACGCUGAAAUUGAUGCGAAAAUCGUGACUAUUUUUCGCCAAAGGUUGGUACGAUUUGGUGUUUGCGAAUGACUGUCAAAACCUACUUUCCCAUACAAGUACUGGUCUGCGCGACGAAAUAUUAUGAUGUCCAUCUCGUAGAAGAGACUCGUGUCUAUUUAUCAAGUAUGGGGUGGCUGGUGCUGUCCAGUGCAGUGUCCUUCGAUCAGCCUACUAGUCAACCUUAACAAGUUUCACGAUCAAAUGGAGAAUUCUGACAUGUAACGUGCUAAAAUCGAACCUGGGGAAUCUCCUACGAGGCCAGGAAUCGCGUGGAUUCAACGCCUACGGAAAUUCGUCAAUAUUCGUCAGAGUCGCUCAAGAUAACAGCAGCUGCUAGUAUUAUUGUUCUCACAGCAGCUUCAACUCCAAAUAACACCGCUGUCGAGAUGUUUACCACGUGACAUCGGUUGUAACAUCGUAUCAGAAAAGUUUAGACGCCAUACAUAAAUUCGACGUACAGUUUAAAGAAACAAAAACCAGAACAAAAGGCCUUUAGAGUAAAAAUUAUUUAUACACUGAGCUAAAUGCUUUUCCCCAUACAAGUGGAAGAUAUUCUGCGUAAAAAUUUGUGUAAUCUAUCUAAAUUUCUCAGAAUUCAUACUAAAUUCACAAAGCAAUAGUUUUAUGAAUCGAAUAAAGUGUUAUAUAGAUUAAUAUCGCAUAGGAAUAUUAAAAGAAAUAUA
rnacentral:lncRNA from 1 species